AUUUUAUCAUCAAGAUUCAAAUUUAUAUAGCCUCCAAUCUAAUACUAUUCUAUCUUGAGGUUCUAUUGCUUGAUAAUAUUAUAUAUCAGUCUUCUAAUUAUCAACUGUUAUUAUGGUAUUACUAUGAUCUUUUAAUACUUGGCUUCCUUAGCCUAUACUUGAGAGGUACCUUUGUAUUUUGUGGUAGCACUAUUAAUAUUGUUCUUAUCUUGUCACU
rnacentral:lncRNA from 1 species